AGUGAACGCUGGCGGUAGGCCUAACACAUGCAAGUCGAACGGCAGCACAGUAAGAGCUUGCUCUUACGGGUGGCGAGUGGCGGACGGGUGAGGAAUACAUCGGAAUCUACUUUUUCGUGGGGGAUAACGUAGGGAAACUUACGCUAAUACCGCAUACGACCUACGGGUGAAAGCAGGGGAUCUUCGGACCUUGCGCGAUUGAAUGAGCCGAUGUCGGAUUAGCUAGUUGGCGGGGUAAAGGCCCACCAAGGCGACGAUCCGUAGCUGGUCUGAGAGGGUGAUCAGCCACACUGGAACUGAGACACGGUCCAGACUCCUACGGGAGGCAGCAGUGGGGAAUAUUGGACAAUGGGCGCAAGCCUGAUCCAGCCAUACCGCGUGGGUGAAGAAGGCCUUCGGGUUGUAAAGCCCUUUUGUUGGGGAAGAAAAGCAGCAGGUGAAUACCCCGCUGUUCUGACGGUACCCAAAGAAUAAGCACCGGCUAACUUCGUG
rnacentral:rRNA from 1 species